rnacentral:lncRNA from 1 species
UACGUUGCUCAUAUAGUAUAGUCAUAUUUUCUAAAUUUUUCGGCUGGAACAUUUGGCAUCAUCCCUACGGCAACAAUGGUACUUACGUUUCCACACCCCAACCAAAUUCAGAAACAUGUGUAAGCCAACAGACCAAACAAGACAACAGACCAACCAACACACAUAUGUCCACAAUUCUCGAUUUUCUUAUGAAAUCUAAAACUCAUAUCUGUACCGAAACUCAAACAGUUGUCAGAAGUUACCUUUCUCCUCCGCAUAUGUUCAACCCUUGCGCCCAGAUUUUCAAAAUAAUCAACGGUUCCACUUUAAAUCCCUAAUAUCCAGAUCGGGUUUUCUUCGAACACUUAUGUUUUUUGCUCUUAUGGUGUUAAAGCACAUACCUUGAUGUCUUCUCUUUCCGCUCUGCAAUCGAUCUGGCUCCGUCAACUACCCUC